rnacentral:tRNA from 2 species
GGGCGAUUAGCUCAGUGGGUCAGAGCGCGCCCCUUACAAGGGUGAGGUCAUUGGUUCGAGUCCAAUAUCGCCCA